rnacentral:snRNA from 1 species
AGAUGUGAGAACAAUCUGAUUGUCACCCCAUUGAUCGCCAGGGUUGAUUCGGCUGAUCUGGCAGGCUAGGCAGGUGUCCCCUUCCUCCCUCACCACUCCAUGUACUUCCCUCUCAGAAUUGUGUGCUUGCUUGAAGAGAACCGCUUUCCCCAACAGAGACAGACUGGUUGUCGGUCAAGGGUAUAAGAGUAGCUGUGCUCCCUUGCUAGACCCUCCAAAUAAGCUCACAAGGACCUGAGUUCAAGCCCCUAGUCCCCACCUGUGGAGGGUAAGCUUCACAAGUAAUGAAGCAGGCCUGCAGGUGUUUCUCUUU